GGGUGUUUGUUUGUUUGUUUUUACUCGAUCAUGGGUUAAUUGGCACUGAUUUCCUUAAACAGGCUGUGGUUGGAGCAUAGUCUGUGGCAUAAGUGUGGUACGUGAAAUGAAUAAAAUCAGUUUUUAAACUCAGUUUGAACAAUAAUCCAAACACUACUUUAUUAAAGGCAGGUUUUCUUUAAAGGAAAAAAAUGUGAACUGAAUUUUAUGAUGUUAUAACUAACUUUCACUUUGAUAUUCAACGUUACCAUGAAAAAAGCAAUUAUACUUUUGUAUUAAGAAAAAGUGUAAAGACUAUGAAGUGUUUCAACUGUACAAUAAACUUCAAAACAUGGAACAUUUGAAGAGAACAAUGGUUUAUUAGCAAUACUGGAGUACAUAGCUUACAAAACUUUUUUUUCGACAAAAUGUUCUACAACCAUCCUGUGCAGAUUUACAUACAUGUAGUUUGUAGCCAGUAAUUGAUACUAAUCAUGAGGCCUUGUUCAAUUUGUCAGCAGAUCAUUAAUAUUCAAAAUGGAUUUUCCGUUAUUAAAAUAAACCCUGCUCCCUCACAUUGAAUUCUGAACCUCUAUGUGAUGUGUAGUAUAAUGUUCAUCUGAGAAAAAUAUGAAACUCUAGUUAUUUCUAAGGAAUAGUUCAACUUAUUGAGUCUUAAAACACAUUUAAAGUAUUGUGCCCAUCCAACAGAACUGUAUUGUAAGAAUCUCUGUAAGGAUGAUCGUACUGUUCUCAAGUAGAUUCCAAUUGCUGUGGUUUCAACCUUCUUUCAUUAUAGAACGUAAUACAGAGCUGCACUACAGUUAAUAAAUGAAAUCAAUAAAUGGACACAAAGUGGAGCAACUAAAUGUACAUACUGCAAACUGAUUGUCACAAGAGGUAAAACUGGUUAAUAAAGGAAUCAAUUCAGUUUGUUGUAAAUAAAUACAUUAAAGUGGAACAUCUUCAAGGUGUACUUGUGUUUGAUACAAAUAAAAACACAUGACAAACUCCU